GUUAAAAUUUUUUUCUUUUUUCCUUUUCUUUUCUUUUUCCUUUUUCUUUCUUUUCCCUAUUUCCUUCUUCCUCCCCGUGCGUCCUUCCCCUUCUCCCCAGCCGCAACCGCCGCGCCUCUUCUCCUUCCUCCCGUACGCCGCGACGACUCCACCGUCUCCUUCUCCCUUCCCUUCCGUUUCCUUCCCGCCGCAGCCCAGCCGCAACCAGCCGUCUUUCUCUUCCGUUCUCUUUCCGCCGCAGCCCAGCCGUAGCCCGCGAUCUGCCGUCUCCAUCUCCGGUUCGCGAAGCAACCUUGCAGCAGUCGUCCCGCGCGCCGAUCUGCCGUCUCCAUCGCCGGUUCUGUCUUCGUCGAAGCCCGAGCCGCCGUGUGAACCAGUAACCGCCACGUUCGCCGCUCACAACCGCCGUAAAGCCAGCCGCGCAACCUUCAUUCCAACCGCUGCACUGCCGCGCGAUUCUCCGGCCACGUCUUCUUUAGCCGACCGCUGACCGACCCACACUUAGGAUUUUGCUGCGAGUUCGACAGUCGUGCGUUGAGUGUUGGGAGUAACCUUGGGCUCCCUUAAAUUCACAACCAAAUUGUGAAUUGUUGAGGGUUCAGUUCGCCAAUAUUUCGGAUUUGAUUCAUUGGAUUUAGUCGAUUGAAGAAUUUGCAUAGAAAUCGAGGGGAAGGGGUGUGUAAGGGAUUUUGAUUUUAGUCAUUGAAUGCCAGUGUGUAGCGCCCACCUCCAGGUGACGGAUUUUCAGCAGCCACCGUCGCCCUCUUCCAAUUUUGUUUUCGACAACCCUCUCUAUUCUAUGUUGCUGUUUCCAAUGGGGUUGUAUUAUCUUCUGGAGUAUACAUGUUGGAUUUGUUGUAGAUGUAGCCAUGGUUUUCCUCCUUCGUUGCUUAUUCUUAACUUCAUGUAACUUAUAGCCAUCUAAUUCGUUUCUUCUUCCUAUUUUUUCUCCUCUUCUAAUGGCAUCUUUCAUUCUCUACAUCCAACUUGCGCAACCGUGAUAUAUUCUCCAAGGUAAGUAUCUCUUUAAUGGACGUCAAAAGACUGCAUCUUGAAAAAUGAUUUCAUCCAAGAUAUAUUCAUAUGGGCUUUUUUAUUCCUUUGAAAGAAUGCCAUUCAUAUAUUACACAUCCUUAUACCUGAGUUUACAAGGUUGUUAUAGUACUUUCGCGUUUCAUGAGUGAAAAGAUAGAAUCAAGUUGCGGAAUUACGUUCAUUUUUAGAGCUCUUAAGUGAUUGAAGAUAGUUGAUGUAUAUUUAUUUUCUCAAAAGUCACAUUUUUUGCAAGUUUGGUUUACUUUGGAUUUAUUAAAGAUAAUACCAGUUCACUUAUUGAUUCCAUUCAUUCCCGAAAAAAUUCUUUAAAAAAAUUUAGUUUAACACCAAGAAUCGCUUUGAGGAUUUAUCUCCUUAAGGGUUGUCGGAACCAUAUACUGAACAUCUACAAUACGUUUGAUCAUAGUUAACUUUACAAUGAUCUAGUUGAUAGUCUUCCUAUUUGUUGAGCUUCUCUUUUAGAUUGAAGGAAAGGGAAAGACUUGGCUAGGUUGUGGCAAGCAAACUUCUUCGCUAUUAUGUGGAGAAAUUUAGAGGGGAGGCUAGGGAGUUAGAGAGUUUUUUUGGAAAAAAAAAAAAGAGACGGGACUUUACAUUAAGAGAAUGAAAAAAAAGACCAAUGUUCAAAGAAGUGAAAAAGAGCAACAUAGCACAAAAAAAAGACAUAGGAACAUAAUG